GACGAACCGUGCGAACGUUGUUCGGAAUCACUGGGCAUAAAGGGCGCGUAGGCGGCUUAUCAAGUCAGGGGUGAAAUCCGGCAGCUUAACUGUCGAAGUGCCCUUGAUACUGAUGAGCUCGAGGGAGAUAGGGGUGUGUGGAACUUCCGGUGGGAGCGGUGAAAUGCGUUGAUAUCGGAAGGAACGCCGGUGGCGAAAGCGACACACUGGAUCUCUUCUGACGCUGAGGCGCGAAAGCCAGGGGAGCAAACAGG
rnacentral:rRNA from 1 species